GGACGGGUGAGUAAUAUAUAGUUAACCUGCCCUCGAGAAAGGAAUAACAGUUGGAAACGACUGCUAAUGCCCUAUAUGCCUUUAAGACAUAAGUCUGCAAGGGAAAUGUUUUUGUGCUCGAGGAUGGGACUGUACGGCAUCAGAUAGUUGGUGGGGUAAUGGCCUACCAAGUCAAUGACGCCUAACUGGUUUGAGAGGAUGAUCAGUCACACUGGAACUGAGACACGGUCCAGACUCCUACGGGAGGCAGCAGUGGGGAAUAUUGCACAAUGGAGGAAACUCUGAUGCAGCAACGCCGCGUGGAGGAUGACACAUUUCGGUGCGUAAACUCCUUUUAUAUAGGAAGAUAAUGACGGUACUAUAUGAAUAAGCGCCGGCUAACUCCGUGCCAGCAGCCGCGGUAAUACGGAGGGCGCAAGCGUUACUCGGAAUCACUGGGCGUAAAGAGCGUGUAGGCGGAUAGAUAAGUCAGAAGUGAAAUCCUAUGGCUCAACCAUAGAACUGCUUUUGAAACUGUUUAUCUAGAGUGUGGGAGAGGUAGAUGGAAUUUCUGGUGUAGGGGUAAAAUCCGUAGAGAUCAGAAGGAAUACCGAUUGCGAAGGCGAUCUACUGGAACAUAACUGACGCUGAGACGCGAAAGCGUGGGGAGCAAACAGGAUUAGAUACCCUGGUAGUCCACGCCCUAAACGAUGUACACUAGUUGUUGUGAGGCUUGACCUUGCAGUAAUGCAGUUAACACAUUAAGUG
rnacentral:rRNA from 1 species